UGAAGGGGCAGGCAUCUGACAGUGACACAUUUUGCUGGAGAAGAGACAGAAGUUGGUCACUGUUGUGUACAUACAGACCAGCUGUGCUCCGAAGAGAUGCUACUGAGAAUGUGUGCGUGUUCAUGAAGUACUAGCACAUCCAAAGCAUUGGGCACGAGCUCCACGACCAUCUGGCUGCCUGCUUGUGGAUUCAUUCAUAAGAUGUGGCCAACUGAGGGAGCGAAAGAGAGAGAAUCAGCCAACAUCCCUCUCCUCCUCCCCCUCCUCCUCUUCCCCUUCACCGCGGCCUCUUGCACAUGAAAGGGACCGUGCAAGGCCAAUGGAUGGCCGGUGGGUCAUCCGUGUCUGGACUCUUAAGGCACUCGGCAGCUGGAAAAGGCAGUUGCUUCUCCCAGGUGAUUUCCGGACGCGGCUUUCCAGACACUUCACACAGGAAGGUGGCUG